GACCUGGUUGUGAAAUGUAUCAUGCCCGCCCUCAUUUCGGUGUAACCAUCUAGCAGAUCGAUGGUGGGAGCUCCCGGUUCGAUUCCGGGCCAGGUCG